GCAGCAGUGGGGAAUUUUGGACAAUGGGCGAAAGCCUGAUCCAGCCAUGCCGCGUGAGUGAAGAAGGCCUUCGGGUUGUAAAGCUCUUUUAGUUGGAAAGAAAGAGUCAUAGUUAAAAGCUAUGAUUUAUGACGGUACCAACAGAAAAAGCACCGGCUAACUACGUGCCAGCAGCCGCGGUAAUACGUAGGGUGCGAGCGUUAAUCGGAAUUACUGGGCGUAAAGGGUGCGCAGGCGGCCAUGCAAGUCAGAUGUGAAAGCCCCGGGCUUAACCUGGGAAUUGCGUUUGAAACUGCAAGGCUAGAGUGCAGCAGAGGGGAGUGGAAUUCCAUGUGUAGCAGUGAAAUGCGUAGAGAUGUGGAAGAACACCGAUGGCGAAGGCAGCUCCCUGGGUUGACACUGACGCUCAUGCACGAAAGCGUGGGGAGCAAACAGGAUUAGAUACCCUGGUAGUCCACGCCCUAAACUAUGUCAACUAGUUGUCGGAUCUAAUUAAGGAUUUGGUAACGUAGCUAACGCGUGAAGUGACCGCCUGG
rnacentral:rRNA from 1 species